rnacentral:rRNA from 1 species
AACGCGAAGAACCUUACCAGCCCUUGACAUCCCGAUCGCGGUUUCCAGAGAUGGAUUCCUUCAGUUAGGCUGGAUCGGUGACAGGUGCUGCAUGGCUGUCGUCAGCUCGUGUCGUGAGACGUUGGGUUAAGUCCCGCAACGAGCGCAACCCUCGCCCUUAGUUGCCAGCAUUAAGUUGGGCACUCUAAGGGGACUGCCGGUGAUAAGCCGAGAGGAAGGUGGGGAUGACGUCAAGUCCUCAUGGCCCUUACGGGCUGGGCUACACACGUGCUACAAUGGUGGUGACAGUGGGCAGCGAGACCGCGAGGUCGAGCUAAUCUCCAAAAACCAUCUCAGUUCGGAUUGCACUCUGCAACUCGAGUGCAUGAAGUUGGAAUCGCUAGUAAUCGCGGAUCAGCAUGCCGCGGUGAAUACGCUCCCGGGUCUUGUACACACGC